AUUGGAGAAAUAGCUCCUCAGCUUUGAAAGAUCAAAGAGUUGGAAUCUUACCUUUUGAACUGAAUUUUUAUUCAUAACAACUGGAAUAUCACUAAGUUGGAUACUUUUUAUUCUUUCUAUUCCCUGCCCUAUCCCUCUCACUUUUAAAUGUCAGAGCCUGAAAAGUAUCCUUUUAAAAUUGUAUUAAAGUUUUUAAUUAAAAAAUAAAUAAAUUUCAAAGCCUAUACACAGGAAAUCCAUGGAAGAACAAUCCAUGACUUUAUCAACUCUUUCUGCUGUGCAAAAUAAUGGAAUUAGUUAAAUCCCCCAUAGCUUAAAAGAAGUAGAUAACCAAUUAUCCCGUCACUUAUUUCACCAUUCAACUUGAAAUUAACCUGCUGCUGUUUGCUGAACUUUCCCUCAUCUUUCCUCCAUAUUUAUAAUUGCAUCUCAAUCUUAUGUUACACAUUAAUUUCAAAGCAUUGUGUGGGGUUUUUUUUUCAUUCUUCCUGUUAAUUGUUUUCCACUAUACAUUCUAGACCAAAAUUCUUGUCCAGAAUGCCAUUCGUGAUAUAAUUAUUCACAACUUUAGGCAGAGUUCACUUUGGCAGUAGAGGCAGGUGAGAUUCGAGAAGCUGAGCCUUCUUGGUAACCCCAAACCAAGUAAUAAUUCUCCUAUUUCCAUUGUGAGUUUGUACCCUUCGCACAUCUUGCCUUUUAACUAAAUGACUCCUUUCUGUCACCCACUCAGGAUGAGUCCAUUCAUUCAUUCAAACAGCUAUUAGCAAUGUCCUGAUCUGGACAAACACUGCCUAGUGGUUGAGGCAGGAUACGUUGAUGAAUAUGACUGACCCAGUCCCUGCCAAAGAUGGAGCACCCAUUCUAGAAUGGGUAAUCUUUUGCUCUUUCUCAAGAAAGGAGGGGCUCAGCAUGAGUCAGUAUAGGCAGUCUUCAUUUUGUAUGGUACUGCAGGACUGUACAGAUGCCCAUGCAGGCCCCAAAUGUGCAAGUGACUCUGGGUUUGAUCCCUGGCCUGGGAACUUCCACAUGCCAUGGGCGUGGCCAAAAAAUUUUUUUGUCAAAAUUCUUACUAUCAGGAGUUUCCAUGGUGGCUCAGCGGUAACGAACCCAACUAGGAUCCAUGAGGACACAGGUUUGGUCCCUGGCCUCGCUCCGUGGGUUAAGGAUCCCACCUUGCCAUGAGCUGUGGUGUAGGUCACAGACGCGGCUUGGAUCCCGCAUGGCUGUGACUGUGGCAUAGGCCAACAGCUGUAGUUCUGAUUUGACCACUAGCCUGGGAACUUCCAUAUGCCAUGGGUGCGGCCCU
rnacentral:lncRNA from 1 species